rnacentral:rRNA from 1 species
GCCGCAGUAUUUUGACUGUGCAAAGGUAGCAUAAUCAUUAGUUUUUUAAUUGAAAGCUGGAAUGAAGGGUCGGAUGAGAAAGUUUCUGUCUCAGUGAUAUUUUCUUUGAAUUUUAUUUUUAAGUUAAAAAGCUUAGAUUUUAUAAAAAGACGAGAAGACCCUAUAGAGUUUAAUAGGUUUAUAAUGUAUUUAUUUGUAGGUAUAAAUUUAAUUACUUUAUAUCUUAUUUGGUUGGGGUGACUUAGGAAUUGAUUAAACUUCUUUAUUUAUUAACAUUGAUUAGUGAAUAGUUGAUCCUAAAUUUUGGAUUAUAAGAAUAAAUUACCUUAGGGAUAACAGCGUAAUUUUUUUAGAGAGUUCUUAUCGAUAAAAAGGAUUGCGACCUCGAUGUUGGAUUAAAGUUAAAUCUUGGUGCAAAAGCUAGGGAUUUA